CGUACACUCCUACGGGAGGCAGCAGUGGGGAAUAUUGGACAAUGGGCGCAAGCCUGAUCCAGCCAUGCCGCGUGAGUGAUGAAGGCCCUAGGGUUGUAAAGCUCUUUCACCGGUGAAGAUAAUGACGGUAACCGGAGAAGAAGCCCCGGCUAACUUCGUGCCAGCAGCCGCGGUAAUACGAAGGGGGCUAGCGUUGUUCGGAUUUACUGGGCGUAAAGCGCACGUAGGCGGACUAUUAAGUCAGGGGUGAAAUCCCGGGGCUCAACCCCGGAACUGCCUUUGAUACUGGUAGUCUUGAGUUCGAGAGAGGUGAGUGGAAUUCCGAGUGUAGAGGUGAAAUUCGUAGAUAUUCGGAGGAACACCAGUGGCGAAGGCGGCUCACUGGCUCGAUACUGACGCUGAGGUGCGAAAGCGUGGGGAGCAAACAGGAUUAGAAACCCCAGUAGUCCCAUGAU
rnacentral:rRNA from 1 species